GACAGCAAAAAGGUACGAUGACACAUCACGAAAUUGAAAUUCAAUAGUCAUACAUUCUUGAAUUCAUCCCCGCGUGGACUACGGCGGCGGUGGAGUCGGUGGGGUGGGGUAAACGGGGGGUGAGACGGCUAUUCGCUCAGGCAUUUUGCGCCGCGCAUGGAAAGAAACCACGAUACCCCUUUGUUCCGUUAUCAGAAAAUAGAUCUUGAAUGGGCCUUUUCACGGCUCGCUAUAAUUGAGUGGCUAAGGGGCUAUUCAGUUCCAUAAAACAGACCCUGAUUAGAUAUUCUUGUGUCCGCCAAUCAAAAGCGUCCUUUGAGAGUCUGACCUGAUUUUGAAUGCUGAUGCUACCGUGUGAGCACAUCGACUAUAGAGACGGAGGAGCGGAUGAGGGAAGAAGCUCCUGGAAAAACACCCGACUUCGACAAAAGGGCCCCGCAUUAUGAGUCGAGAUGACCCCUAUGGACGGAGGGGGGCUGGGGGGCUGGGGGACACUGCGAUUAUCGAAGCUGUGGAAGAGCUACGUUGCAUGAAAUGUAUCUGGGGCCAUGCAUAAGCAGACAAUGAAUCACCACAAGAGCACAGAAAAAACAAGGAUUUGCAUGCUGUAAAUAAAGCGCUGCGUUGUGAAAAGGUAACCAUCCCAGAACAGAAAGAAAGAAAGGAAGAAAGAGAUGGGGAGAGCUCCCAGCAAUCAGCGUCGCCGCAAACGAGUCUUUUAUGUCCUCUUUGACAUAACGGAUCUCACAGUUUGCGCUUUGUGACCACCGAGGGCUCGCGGGAUGGCUCCGGGUUUAGGAGAGAAACGUAAACAAGUGCGCACCGAGGUCUCUCUCCCCCUGCAGGCAGCGACACACAUCAGGCGAGCUCUUGGCUCUCGAAAAGCUCCGACUGAAUGAACAGACAAGCAGUAACGCUUAAGAGAUACGGAGGCGCCGCGACUUCUACUAGCGCGGGGCUGUACGAGUGAGAUAGCGAAGGGGGGGGCCGGGGCAGGUUAUCUGUUCGAUAACGCUCAGCAACAAGCACAACAACAACAGCAAACGGUGGCGAGGGAGAAGCACUGCGCUAGGACUUUUCUUACUGAGCAAACGAGAAGAAAUGCUUUUCGAAGUUAUCGCCGCAUGAUGGAUGAGAUGGAAUUUUUUUUUUUUUUUUUUGUUUCUUUGAAUGGUUGGGAGGUAAGUGCCUUCGGUGGAAGGAUUCUGGUGAAGGGGCAGCUUGAUGGCGGACUAGACGGAGACUAAAUGGCUACACGGCAUGCAACUCAAACCACCAACACCCCGCCGACAAACCUCGCAUUGUCCUCCUCUGAAGGAAGAUGGAAUGGACUCCCUUUCGUAUUUGUCUUCUCCCGUUAAGUGGAGCGGACAAACGACAUGCUCAUUUGGUCUGGGGACAUCUGGUCAGAGAUCAGAUUUUGGGGAGCGCCGCAUUUUGGGGAACUUGCUUGCUUGGCUAAUGUCCGGUGAAAUUACAGGCAUGUCAUGACCACCGUCAACCCAUCGGAUUUUCUUCACGAGGACCCGACAGAGAGGUUUGAAGGCGGAGGUAGGGGGAAAAAAGAGGAGGAGGAAAGCAGCAGAGAGAAAGGAAAGCUGGGAGGAGGGCGUCGGAUUAAACCAUACAACAGGUCCCCGAAGUCCUAGCCGCUCCUUCAAAUGGUCCGGGGGAAAAAAAAAAAAAAAA